rnacentral:lncRNA from 1 species
UCAUAAUUUAGUGAUAGAAAAAGGAAGACAUUUAAAAAUACCUAUCUAGAGAAAAAAGACUAUGCACAUCCUGUAAUACAAUGGAGGAUAAAGCCCAUUUUAUUUUAUACUGUAAAAAAAAUGCUAAGCUAAGAGAUAACUUUAUAGGAAAUGUAAUUAAACAUAUGCCAGAUUUUAUGUCUUGGCAAGAAAAUGAAAAAAUUAAAUAUCUUUAAUCUGCGACACGCCCUGCCAGAAAAAAAAAACGACAUUAAACAUACACAAAGGCCUUAACAGAAAACAUACCUGCAAAUGUCCCAUAGGCCACACGACCUAAAGGAAAAAAAAGGAACCAUUUGACAUACACAAAGGCCUUAACAGAAAACAUACCUGCGAAUCUCCAAUCUGCGUCGCGCCCUGCCAGAAAAAAAGAAAAGACAACAUUAGACAUACACAAAGGUCUUAACAGAAAACAUACCUGGGAAUCCUCAAUCUGCGUCGCGCCCUGCUAGAAAAAAAGAAAAGGCGCAAUUAGACAUACACAAAGGUCUUAACAGAAAACAUACCUGGGAAUCCUCAAUCUGCGUCGCGCCCUGCUAGAAAAAAAGAAAAGGCGCAAUUAGACAUACACAAAGGUCUUAACAGAAAACAUACCUGGGAAUCCUCAAUCUGCGUCGCGCCCUGCAAAAAAAAAAAAAGGCCACACGACCUAAAGGAAAAAAAAAAGAAACCAUUAGACAUACACAAAGGUCUUAACAGAAAACAUACCUUGGAAUCCUCAAUCUGCGUCGCGCCCUGCUAGAAAAAAAGAAAAGGCGCAAUUGGACAUACACAAAGGUCUUAACAGAAAACAUACCUGGGAAUCCUCAAUCUGCGUCGCGCCCUGCAAAAAAAAAAAGGCCACACGACCUAAAGGAAAAAAAAAAAACAUUAGACAUACACAAAGGUCUUAACAGAAAACAUACCUGGGAAUCCUCAAUCUGCGUCGCGCCCUGCUAGAAAAAAAGAAAAGGCGCAAUUAGACAUACACAAAGGUCUUAACAGAAAACAUACCUGGGAAUCCUCAAUCUGCGUCGCGCCCUGCUAGAAAAAAAGAAAAGGGACAACCUUAGACAUACACAAAGGUCUUAACAGAAAACAUACCUGGGAAUCCUCAAUCUGCGUCGCACCCUACUAGAAAAAAAGAAAAGGCGAAAUUAGACAUACACAAAGGUCUUAACAGAAAACAUACCUGAAAAUCUCCAAUCUGCGAUGCGCCCUGCCAGAAAAAAAAGAAAAGGCGCAAUUAGACAUACACAAAGGUCUUAACAGAAAACAUACCUGGGAAUCCUCAAUCUGCGUCACGCCCUGCAAAAAAAAAAAGGCCACACGACCAAGCCCUGCUAGAAAAAAAAAAGGCGACAUUAGACAUACACAAAGGUCUUAACAGAAAACAUACCUGAAAAUCCUCAAUCUGCGUCGCGCCCUGCUAGAAAAAAAGAAAAGGCGACAUUAGACAUACACAAAGGCCUUAACAGAAAACAUACCUUCGAAUCUUCAAUCUGCAUCGCGCCCUGCUGGAAAAAAAAGAAAAGGCGCAAUUAGACAUACACAAAGGUCUUAACAGAAAACAUACCUGGGAAUCCUCAAUCUGCGUCGCGCCCUGCUAGAAAAAAAGAAAAGGCGCAAAUUAGACAUACACAAAGGUCUUAACAGAAAAACAUACCUGGGAAUCCUCAAUCUGCGUCGCGCCCUGCUAGAAAAAAAGAAAAGGCGCACAUUAGACAUACACAAAGGUCUUAACAGAAAACAUACCUGGGAAUCCUCAAUCUGCGUCGCGCCCUGCUAGAAAAAAAGAAAAGGCGCAAUUAGACAUACACAAAGGUCUUAACAGAAAACAUACCUGGAAAUCCUCAAUCUGCGUCGCGCCCUGCAAAAAAAAAAAAAAAAGGCCACACGACCUAAAGGAAAAAAAAGAAACCAUUAGACAUACACAAAGGUCUUAACAGAAAACAUACCUGGGAAUCUCCUAAUCUGCGUCGCGCCUGCUAGAAAAAAAGAAAAGGACAACAUUAGACAUACACAAAGGUCUUAACAGAAAACAUACCUGAAAAUACUCAAUCUGCGUCGCGCCCUGCUAGAAAAAAAGAAAAGGCAACAUUAGACAUACACAAAGGCCUUAACAGAAAACAUACCUUCAAAUCUUCAAUCUGCGUCGCUCCCUGCUGGAAAAAAAAGAAAAGGCGACAUUAGACAUACUCAAAGGCCUUAACAGAAAACAUACCUGGGAAUCCUCAAUCUGCGUCGCGCCCUGCUAGAAAAAAAAGAAAAAGGCGCACAUUAGACAUACACAAAGGUCUUAACAGAAAACAUACCUGGGAAUCCUCAAUCUGCGUCGCGCCCUGCUAGAAAAAAAGAAAAGGCGAAAUUAGACAUACACAAAGGUCUUAACAGAAAACAUACCUGGAAUCCUCAAUCUGCGUCGCGCCCUGCUAGAAAAAAAGAAAAGGCGCACAUUAGACAUACACAAAGGUCUUAACAGAAAACAUACCUGGGAAUCCUCAAUCUGCGUCGCGCCCUGCUAGAAAAAAAGAAAAAGGCGAACAUUAGACAUACACAAAGGUCUUAACAGAAAACAUACCUGGGAAUCCUCAAUCUGCGUCGCGCCCUGCAAAAAAAAAAAAGGCCACACGACCUAAAGGAAAAAAAAAAGAACCAUUAGACAUACACAAAGGUCUUAACAGAAAACAUACCUGGGAAUCCUCAAUCUGCGUCGCGCCCUGCUAGAAAAAAAAGAAAAGGCGCAACAUUAGACAUACACAAAGGUCUUAACAGAAAACAUACCUGGAAUUCCUCAAUCUGCGUCGCGCCCUGCUAGAAAAAAAGAAAAGACAACAUUAGACAUACACAAAGGUCUUAACAGAAAACAUACCUGGGAAUCCUCAAUCUGCGUCGCGCCCUGCUAGAAAAAAAGAAAAAGACAACAUUAGACAUACACAAAGGUCUUAACAGAAAACAUACCUGGGAAUCCUCAAUCUGCCAGAAAAAAAGGAAAAGACAACAUUAGACAUACACACAGGUCUUAACAGAAAACAUACCUGGGAAUCCUCAAUCUGCAUCGUGCCCUGCUAAAAAAAAAGAAAAGGCGAAAUUAGACAUACACAAAGGUCUUAACAGAAAACAUACCUGGGAAUCCUCAAUCUGCGUCGCGCCCUGCAAAAAAAAAAAAGGCCACAGACCUAAAGGAAAAAAAAAGAACCAUUAGACAUACACAAAGGUCUUAACAGAAAACAUACCUGGAAUACCUCAAUCUGCGUCGCGACCUGCUAGAAAAAAAGAAAAGGCGACAUUAGACAUACACAAAGGUCUUAACAGAAAACAUACCUGAGAAUCCUCAAUCUGCGUUGCGCCCUGCUUGAAAAAAAGAAAAGGCGAAAUUAGACAUACACAAAGGUCUUAACAGAAAACAUACCUAAAUCCUCAAUCUGCGUCGCGCCCUGCUAGAAAAAAAGAAAAGGCAACAUUAGACAUACACAAAGGUCUUAACAGAAAACAUACCUGAAAAUCCUCAAUCUGCGUCACGCCCUGCUAGAAAAAAAGAAAAGGCGAAAUUAGACAUUCACAAAGGUAUUAACAGAAAACAUAGCUGAAAAUCCUCAAUCUGCGUCGCGCCCUGCAAAAAAAAAAAAAAGUCCACACGACCUAAAGGAAAAAAAAAGGAACCAUUAGACAUACACAAAGGUCUUAACAGAAAACAUACCUAAAUCCUCAAUCUGUGUCGCGCCCUGCUAGAAAAAAAGAAAAGGCAACAUUAGACAUACACAAAGGUCUUAACAGAAAACAUACCUGAAAAUCCUCAAUCUGCGUCACGCCCUGCUAGAAAAAAAGAAAAGGCGAAAUUAGACAUUCACAAAGGUCUUAACAGAAAACAUACCUGAAAAUCCUCAAUCUGCGUCGCGCCCUGCUAGAAAAAAAGAAAAAGGCGCAACAUUAGACAUACACAAAGGUCUUAACAGAAAACAUACCUGGGAAUCCUCAAUCUGCGUCGCGCCCUGCUAGAAAAAAAGAAAAGGCGCAACAUUAGACAUACACAAAGGUCUUAACAGAAAAACAUACCUGGAAUCCUCAAUCUGCGUCGCGCCCUGCCAGAAAAAAAAGAAAAGACAACAUUAGACAUACACAAAGGUCUUAACAGAAAACAUACCUGGGAAUCCUCAAUCUGCGUCGCGCCCUGCUAGAAAAAAAGAAAAGACAACAUUAGACAUACACAAAGGUCUUAACAGAAAACAUACCUGGGAAUCCUCAAUCUGCGUCGCGCCCUGCCAGAAAAAAAAAGAAAAGGCGACAUUAGACAUACACAAAGGUCUUAACAGAAAACAUACCUGAAAAUCCUCAAUCUGCGUCGCGCCCUGCAAAAAAAAAAAGGCCACACGACCUAAAGGAAAAAAAAAAAGAACCAUUAGACAUACACAAAGGUCUUAACAGAAAACAUACCUGGGAAUCCUCAAUCUGCGUCGCGCCCUGCUAGAAAAAAAGAAAAGGCGCAACAUUAGACAUACACAAAGGUCUUAACAGAAAACAUACCUGAAUCUCAAUCUGCGUCGCGCCCUGCCAGAAAAAAAAGAAAAGACAACAUUAGACAUACACAAAGGUCUUAACAGAAAACAUACCUGGGAAUCCUCAAUCUGCGUCGCGCCCUGCUAGAAAAAAAGAAAAGGCGAACAUUAGACAUACACAAAGGUCUUAACAGAAAACAUACCUGAAUCCUCAAUCUGCGUCGCGCCCUCUUCCAGAAAAAAAGAAAAGGCGACAAUUAGACAUACACAAAGGUCUUAACAGAAAACAUACCUGGGAAUCCUCAAUCUGCGUCGCGCCCUGCAAAAAAAAAAGGCCACACGACCUAAAGGAAAAAAAAAGAACCAUUAGACAUACACAAAGGUCUUAACAGAAAACAUACCUGAAUUCCUCAAUCUGCGUCGCGCCCUGCUAGAAAAAAAGAAAAGGCGACAUUAGACAUACACAAAGGCCUUAACAGAAAACAUACCUGGAAUCUCAAUCUGCGUCGCGCCCUGCUAGAAAAAAAGAAAAGGACAACAUUAGACAUACACAAAGGUCUUAACAGAAAACAUACCUGGGAAUUCCUUAAUCUGCGUCGCGCCCUGCCAGAAAAAGAAAAGGCGACAUUAGACAUACACAAAAACCUUAACAGAAAACAUACCUGAAAAUCCUCAAUCUGCGUCGUGCCCUGCCAGAAAAAAAGAAAAGGCAACAUUAAACAUACACAAAGGUCUUAACAGAAAACAUACCUGAAAAUCCUCAAUCUGCGUCGCGCCCUGCUAGAAAAAAAGAAAAGGCGACAUUAGACAUACACAAAGGCCUUACCAGAAAACAUACCUGAAAAUCCUCAAUCUGCGUCUCGCCCUGCUAGAAAAAAGGAAAAGGCGACAUUAGACAUACACAAAGGCCUUAACGGAAAACAUACCUGCGAAUCUCCAAUCUGUGUCGCGCCCUGCCAGAAAAAAAGAAAAGGCAACAUUAGACGUACACCAAGGUCUUAACAGAUAACAUACCUGAAAAUCCUCAAUCUGCGUCGCGCCCUGCCAGAAAAAAAGAAAAGGCAACAUUAGACAUACACAAAGGUCUUAACAGAAAACAUACCUGGAAAAUCCUCAAUCUGCGUCGCGCCCUGCAAAAAAAAAAAGGCCACACGACCUAAAGGAAAAAAAAAAGAACCAUUAGACAUACACAAAGGUCUUAACAGAAAACAUACCUGCGAAUCUCAAUCUGCGUCGCGCCCUGCCAGAAAAAAAGAAAAGGCAACAUUAGACAUACACAAAGGUCUUAACAGAAAACAUACCUGGAAUUCCUCAAUCUGCGUCGCGCCCUGCUAGAAAAAAAGAAAAGACAACAUUAGACAUACACAAAGGUCUUAACAGAAAACAUACCUGAAAUCCUCAAUCUGCGUCGCGCCCUGCUAGAAAAAAAGAAAACACAACAUUAGACAUACACAAAGGUCUUAACAGAAAACAUACCUGCGAAUCUUCAAUCUGCGUCGUGCUCUUCCAGAAAAAAAGAAAAGGCAACAUUAAACAUACACAUAGGCCUUAACAAAAAACAUACCAGCAAAUGUAGCAUAGGCCACACGACCUAAAGGAAAAAAAAAGGAACCAUUAGACAAACACAAAGGCCUUAACAGAAAACAUACCUGAAAAUCUUCAAUCUGCAACGCACCCUGCUAGAAAAAAAGAAAAGGCAACAUUAGACAUACACAAAGGUCUUAACAGAAAACAUACCUGAAAAUCCUCAAUCUGUGUCGCGCCCUGCUAGAAAAAAAGAAAAGACAACAUUAGACAUACACAAAGGUCUUAACAGAAAACAUACCUAAAUCCUCAAUCUGCGUCGCGCCCUGCAAAAAAAAAAAAAAGUCCACACGACCUAAAGGAAAAAAAAAGGAACCAUUAGACAUACACAAAGGUCUUAACAGAAAACAUACCUAAAUCCUCAAUCUGUGUCGCGCCCUGCUAGAAAAAAAGAAAAGACAACAUUAGACAUACACAAAGGUCUUAACAGAAAACAUACCUGGGAAUCCUCAAUCUGCGUCGCGCCCUGCUAGAAAAAAAGAAAAGGCGAAAUUAGACAUACACAAAGGUCUUAACAGAAAACAUACCUGGAAUCCUCAAUCUGCGUCGCGCCCUGCUAGAAAAAAAGAAAAGGCGAACAUUAGACAUACACAAAGGUCUUAACAGAAAACAUACCUGGGAAUCCUCAAUCUGCGUCGCGCCCUGCUAGAAAAAAAGAAAAAGGCGCAACAUUAGACAUACACAAAGGUCUUAACAGAAAACAUACCUGGAAAAUCUCCAAUCUGCGAUGCGCCCUGCCAGAAAAAAAAGAAAAGACAACAUUAGACAUACACAAAGGUCUUAACAGAAAACAUACCUGGGAAUCCUCAAUCUGCGUCACGCCCUGCUAAAAAAAAAAAAAAGGCCACACGACCUAAAGGAAAAAAAAAGAACCAUUAGACAUACACAAAGGUCUUAACAGAAAACAUACCUGAAAUCCUCAAUCUGCGUCGCGCCCUGCUAGAAAAAAAGAAAAGGCAACAUUAGACAUACACAAAGGUCUUAACAGAAAACAUACCUGAAAAUCCUCAAUCUGCGUCACGCCCUGCUAGAAAAAAAGAAAAGGCGAAAUUAGACAUUCACAAAGGUCUUAACAGAAAACAUACCUGAAAAUCCUCAAUCUGCGUCGCGCCCUGCUAGAAAAAAAAGAAAAGACAACAUUAGACAUACACAAAGGUCUUAACAGAAAACAUACCUGGAAUUCCUCAAUCUGCGUCGCGACCUGCUAGAAAAAAAGAAAAGACAACAUUAGACAUACACAAAGGUCUUAACAGAAAACAUACCUGG